rnacentral:tRNA from 1 species
GCCGGGGUGGUGAAAUUGGUAGACGCGACGGACUCAAAAUCCGUUACUGGCAACAGUGUGCGGGUUCGACUCCCGCCCCCGGCACCA